rnacentral:sRNA from 1 species
UCAUACUAUGAUCAUAGUAUGAUGGCGGUUGAGCAAGUAUGCCCCCAUCGUCUAGUGGUUCAGGAC